ACCAUGGAAUGAUGGAGUCCCUGAAUGGUUGGGCUUGGAAGGGAGCCUGAAGAACAACAUCUUGUUCCCAGCUGAGCAGUCUUCCCCCAGAGCAGGCUGCUCAGAGCCCUGUUCCCAAGGAUGGGGCAUGCACAGCCUCUGUGCACAGCCUGGGCCAGUGCCUCACCAAUUUGAAUCCACCCAUGACUCGGUGUUACCACGCAAACCCUCUACUGGAGCUGAAGGACAGGUCCUGGGUCAUGUAAACCCAAACCUAAUGGCCCUCAUCUGGCUUUGGAUCACCGUCAUCCUGGUUUUCAUCUGGUCCACCAUACCACCUGUUGAUAUGUGGAUCAUCCCCCAGCCAAAAGUUAACAUCUGGAAAGUGCUCACCAAGGUCCUUGACCAGGAUCUUCUUUGUUUGACCACUGUUUCAGCAGCACACCCCUUGUCGACCUGCCUUGUGGGGAUCCCUUCAAACCUAGAUGAGUUUCCUCCCCCUCUCAACAGUUCCCUGAAACUCCUUGCCCAUUAGAAAGUUACCUCUCCCCUGGAAUUAACCCUAACCUUGUCUGGAGAAAUCUCCUCCCCAAAUUAAAUCAUUCAGAUUCUGAACCCCUUGAGUUUACCUUGCUCGGCUCCGUGCCAGCCUCAGUUUGUGUCCAAUUUCUGUUUUCCCCAGACCCCCUUGAUAAAUCCUACCUCCCAGUCCUUCAACACAAUCAAGAUUACACCGCUGGAAACUGGUGCAAAGCCGUUUCCCAAAUUUCCAUGGCUUCGACUUAUGACCACAAAUCCCGAUCCCUUCCCCGGGGAAUUUUCUUAAUUUGUGGAGACCCAGCUUGGGCAGGCAUCCCCUCUCGCCUGAUAGGAGGCCCUUGUUCUUUUGGGAGGCUGACGCUGUUUGCACCCAACAAUACCCAAAUUUCAAAUUGGAAAUCUAGAAACGUCACACACAAUUCAGCCCAUUCCCGGAGAAACCUUCAAGAAUUAGAUUCUAAGUGUGAUUUGGAAAUUGUUCAUUGGUCCAAACCUAAAGGUGUUGCAAUCACAGUCCUUUUACCUUGGGUGGCUGCGACAAAAGCUGCAGGUGAAUUAGCUCACCUAGAGUUCUGGGUAGCCAAACAAGCGAACUUAAUCUCAGCAGUCCUGAGCGACCUCCUAUCAGAUGAAGAAAUAACAAGGCAGGCAACCCUUCCGAACAGGGCAGCAACUGAUUUCCUGCUCCUGCUCCAUUACCAUCAAUGUGAAGUUUGAGGGGCUCUCCUGUCUGAACUUGACAUCUAAGGCCAAGGACAUCAGGAAUACAAUUGCACAACUGAAGGACAUGGUGCAUCAGAUUAAGAAAGAGAGUGCAGACUGCCUGGGGGACAUUUUCUCCAGAUGGGGCCUUUCAGGCUGGGUGGGCUCUGUUUUAAUAACCAUUCUUUUGUUCUGUUUAGUCAUUUUAAUUGUCUGUGUUGCUGCCAGCAUCAUAUGGCAGCUAAUACUAAAAUUUCUUACAAAGAUGACAUCUUCCCCAAGCAUUAACUGAGUGCAAAUUCCAACAUCAGACCUGGAGGAAGAAGAUCAAGACUCCACCGAAGACCAUCUGGCUCCUGAGGAGGGCUGGUGGGCUUCUGCCCCACUAGCUCAACCUUGGUUUGGGGACAUUUACUUGGAAUUUAACAAUCAAAUUGAAUUUACUUCAUUUUAAGGA